rnacentral:sRNA from 1 species
AGUUGAGACAACAUAUUCUUGUGGUGAUGGCGCGCAUGGGGCAAGUGGUGUAACCACUGGCAUCAGCACCUCAUGCGUGAAAACAGGCUCCUUCAGGGGCCUUUUUUAUUGCCUUUGG